CGUUUGAUCAUGGCUCAGGACGAACGCUGGCGGCGUGCUUUACACAUGCAAGUCGAACGGUGAACCGGUGCUUGCACCGGGAAUCAGUGGCGAACGGGUGAGUAACACGUGAGCAACCUGCCCCUGACUCUGGGAUAACCCCGGGAAACCGGAGCUAAUACCGGAUAUGACACCUUCGGGCAUCCGAUGGGUGUGGAAAGAUUUAUCGGUUGGGGAUGGGCUCGCGGCCUAUCAGCUUGUUGGUGGGGUAAUGGCCUACCAAGGCGACGACGGGUAGCCGGCCUGAGAGGGCGACCGGCCACACUGGGACUGAGACACGGCCCAGACUCCUACGGGAGGCAGCAGUGGGGAAUAUUGCGCAAUGGGCGAAAGCCUGACGCAGCGACGCCGCGUGGGGGAUGAAGGCCUUCGGGUUGUAAACCCCUUUCAGCAGGGACGAAGCGAAAGUGACGGUACCUGCAGAAGAAGCGCCGGCUAACUUCGUGCCAGCAGCCGCGGUAAUA
rnacentral:rRNA from 1 species